UCUCAGUAUCUGCCUAUCUUGUGUCCCUUUGUAAUUUUUUAACCCCAGAACUCUAUUCCCUCCUUCAGGAUGUCAUACAUUAUCUUUUUUUCUCUCCAUGCUGCUCUGAAAUCCUGCUUAGAAAACUAUUAGGAAAUGGCUGCAGUCCUGAGCUGUGAGCGGUAAACACAGCCUUUGAGAGCAGGAGCACAUUUCCCUUUCAUGACAUCAGGUAGGGUUGUAUGACUCCCGACUAGUUUUAGCAUCUGAGUCUUACCUUCCCCCCCACUGUAUUGAAGAAUGUUGGUGAUCUUUUAAGAGGUACUCUGUAUAGCUUGUCAUUCACACCUACAAGAAAACAAACUUUAGAUUUUUUGUUGUUGUGUUGUUAUCUUCAGCUACUCUUUGGUUAUUUCAUUGUCUGGUUUCAAAAUUCCCAUGUCCUGUGAAACCCUGUCAAGCAAUAAACAAUUGGUACUGUUAAAUUUCAUAAUGGAAAAAAAUUGGAACUCAAAGUAUUAGGAGUUUGGCAUUGAUUUUAAAGGACAAAGAAAGAAGCUAUGAAUUCUCAAAGAUACUAAACCUGUAAUGGGAUGGACUUCUUGCUCUGUUGAAAAGGCCUGGUCUCUGGAAGAUGAACUUAAAACCAGCUUCUCAAGGUGGUUUAUUUACCACACAUACUUCAGUGCUCUUUUCUGAUUUCAUGUCCCUUAUCAAGGUUUAUGAUUUGGGGACCCUCAGGAUUUAAGUGAUCAUGGAGAAGGGACCAUAGGUAUUGCUGGCUCUUAGCAGGGCAGUUAACAUAGCUGAAGGAUGUGGGCUUUCUUAUGUUCUCCAUGCCUAGGACUUCCUCCGUCAGGCAGCUGGCAGGACCUGAAGGAUCACAUGCGAGAAGCUGGGGAUGUCUGUUAUGCUGAUGUGCAGAAGGAUGGAGUGGGGAUGGUUGAGUAUCUCAGAAAAGAAGACAUGGAAUAUGCCCUGCGUAAACUGGAUGACACCAAAUUCCGCUCUCAUGAGGGUGAAACUUCCUACAUCCGAGUUUAUCCUGAGAGAAGCACCAGCUAUGGCUACUCACGGUCUCGGUCUGGGUCAAGGGGCCGUGACUCUCCAUACCAAAGCAGGGGUUCCCCACACUACUUCUCUCCUUUCAGGCCCUACUGAGACAGGUGAUGGGAAUUUUUCCUUUAUUUUUUAGGUUAACUGAGCUGCUUUGUGCUCAGAAUCUACAUUCCAGAUUGAGGAUUUAGUGUCUUAGGAAAUUUUUUUAAUUUUUUUUUUUUUAAAAGAAGAAAAAAAAACUACAUAAUUUCUACCAGGGCCAUAUUAGCAGUGAAACAUUUUAAACUGCAGAAAUUGUGGUUUUGGUUCAGAAACAAGUUGUAUAUUUUUCACCCCUGAUUAUGGGAAAAAAAUCAGUUCUGUCUUUGUGGGUUGCUCUACUAUGGAGAUCAACAGUUACUGUGACUGAGUCG
rnacentral:sRNA from 1 species